rnacentral:lncRNA from 1 species
UAACUUUUUGUACAGAUAACUAAAUGACAAAUGAUUUUAAUUUUUAGAUAUUAAAAUUAAAAUACAACUUUUAUUUUUGGAUCAUCCUUAAAUUUUUUAUAGUUUGGGAGAAAUACUAUCAGGUCCUUUGGAGAAUUAUUCUAUGCUCAUAAGUAUUAAUCUCUGAAAGACUUCAACACAUAUAGAUAUUUCUUUGAGAGAACAUCCAUCAAGAGAAAGAAAAAAUGGUAUUUUUGCUGCAAAAUUUUACUCUGACCAGCCCGCUUCAAAUUAUAUUUUUCGAUUCAUUCUAAGGCCCGAUAAAGGUUCGCCAAGGAUUUAGGUAUUUAUGGUUACAAUGUAAGCUAGUGUGUUUGGAGGGUUGUAGAUAAUUUUCAUGGCGAGCUUCUGAGUCUUGGUGUGGAUUUUUGGACUGUACAAGACAUUCUUUUGUGCAUAAAAUGGCAUUUUUGUGGCUUAUUAUACGACCGCAGAUCUAUUUCGUUGACUACGAUAUCAUCACAGAAUGAGUUAGAAGCAACACAAUUUUGAUGGACAUUUCGUGGUGCAUUAUGCGAUCGCGAAUCUGACCAGAUCCAACCCAGAUUGUAAAGACCAUUUUGUGGGUUGUUCCACUGACCACGAAUUUGUUCCUUUAACCGCAGUUCCGUUGCAGAUUUGACAUCGAGGGGUUAUUUUUUUUUAAUUUCCUAAUUCGACUCUAUUUUGAGAUAAGGCCUUGGAGGGUUAUUUUAGAAGGUAUAACCUAAUAUUUUAGAGAGAGAGGGAUAAGCUCUAUCAUUUCCACACUUCAAAUUCUUGCUCAAAUUUUAGGUAUUCAUUAAGGAAAGUUCACAAGGUCUUCUACUAAAGAGGUAAGACUUUAUCCCUAGAUCGUAUGCAAUGUUCUAUCAUGAAUUUAUGCCUAAUAAUUUUUUAUGACGGGGCUUAUGGGAUGGUGAUUGAAAUCCAUAAGCCAUUAAUUUUGAAAUUGGGUGUAUGUGGAGAAUGAAGGAUGUGAUUCUUGUGGGUAGGGAGUAAACGAUUGGGCAUGGAUGUGCAAAUGAAUGUUGUUAGGUGUUUUAGGGAUAUUGCAGAUUUAUUGUUUGCUUGGAAUUGGUUUAGGGGUGGAAGAAUUUCCAUUAAAGACCCUUGUAGUCGACUAUGCAUAGUUGGUAUUUGACGAAAUGCCUAAGAGACUUAUAUCAUAAGAAUCCUUUUAGUAAUGGCUCAGUUGGACCAUUUUAAUGUAGAUUCAAGUUGCUAGGAACAGUGGAACAUUGUAGCCAUCUUAAGGAAGCUUAAUUAAGGCAUGUUGGCGAAACCCCCUCCAUAGAAUUUGAUUCCAUGAUCUCCUAUAAACUUCAAGUAUGGUUUGCCGAAGCUUAAUUUUAUUGCUAAUGCUUAUUUGAGAGUUGAUUAUAUUUUAACUUGCAUGUAAAUAUUAUUGAUCCUUCUUACUACUUCUAUGUUUCUCGCUUUUUGAGUUGGUAUUCCAUUCCAUGUGAAGGUAUUUGGCCUUACAUUCUAGUACUAUUCAAUAUGCACUAACGUCCAUUUUGCCGGUGAACUGGAUCUUUAAUGGAUGCAGGUGGUACCUUAACAGGCAGCAUGGACCCUUGAUAGCAGCAUACCCUCCACUCAGCGGAGUUGGUUAGCCCUACUCUACACCUGGGCCCAUAUGUUGUAUUGCUUUCUUUCACAUUACUUUUGAGGUAUAGUCGGGGCCUUGUCACUGAUACUUUCAUACUACUCUUCUUCUUCAUUCAGAGGCUUCGUAGUCGUGCUGUGGAAUGUGUUUUGGAAUGUGGAAAAAUAAAUAAAAAAUGUUAAUGCAAUUGUCGGAUGUUUUCACUUCAAUAUAUAAACUUGUAAUCUUUUGGUUAUUAUCACUGGAGCUUCUUUAAGUAAUGAAAAAUGAUCCUCUCAUUGAUUUCCUCAUGUCAUUUAUUCUCAAAUUACUCACGAGCAAUUUGGGUAGAAGGCGUCUGGUAGGCUUGCUUGACUGGAUAUGUUGGUUAAGCGUUGGUUCCGCUCCCAAAUGUCGGGGUGUGACAAGUUUGGUAUCAGAGCCUAAGGUUUUAAAGUGUCCUAGGAUAUCUAGGAGCCGUGUCUAGUAGAGUCCUUAUUAUCGGUGUGAAGUCGACCACACAUAUAAUUAGGAGGCUACUUGGGCAUUUAGGAAUGUCACACUUCUUUGAUAUUUGAGAUCGUGCAAUAGAGCUGAUUAUAAGACUGUCACUUUUUGAAUUGUGUGUUGUUAUAUUUUUUCAGUACAUGGUGCCUAAGAAGAAGGCGAGUAGUGGCAAAAGGACUAAUAAUACCCCAAGAGUGGCAGUUGAUACAAUACCUAAUGUUGCGAGUGAGUACCCAAGGGGUGAGGACAUUCCCUAACCACACAACCUCCUAAUUCUUCUACUCCUGCUGAGAAUGUACAGAUUCCUCCUCCUACAGAUAUUCCAGUUCCACCUCCAGCAUCAUCCUCCGGUCCUAAUGUUUAUGAUAGGGACCUUAGAGGAGCCAUCAAGUUGUAUACUCAGAUAGUGUCUUCUCAGGCCCAAAGAUUGAAUGACACGUCUACUUCCUCUAGCCACCAAGGAGAUACAACUAGUUCUAGGGUGAACAUAUUUCUUCAGUUGAAUCCUAUGGUGUUUACGGGAAGUAAGCCCGAGGAGGACCCAUAGGAAUUUAUUAAUGACAUACACUAGACUCUCCGUGUUAUGCGUGCCAUCUCACAUCCCAAACUCGGGGAGCGCGUCCGGCGCUCAACCGAGUGAAUUCGUCCGAGCAAGCCCGUCAGAUGCUUUCUAUCCAAGAUAUUAACCAAACAAAUGACUCUUAGUAAUUGUUGAUUAGGUGGCUAUCUAAAGUAAGUUCCAUAAGGCACUUACAUAUGAUAUAUCUAUAGACGCUUAUGCACUUUGUCGUGUGAUUAAGAGGAGUUUAAAUGGUCCAAAAACUGGUGACGUCCAUUAUGCAAGUGAUAGAUCCUCUAGCAUUGAAAUUUAUUCUGAGGGAAGAUGUGAUCAUCAUGAUAUGGAAAUUAGAUCUCAUGAGUAUGGAAUGCCAUCAUCAUCAUCAUCAUCCAUGGCAGUCCAUGGCUCUCCAAUGAAUGUUACAACUCCUAUUCCUACUGAUGAUAAGUAGAAUAUGCAAUAUUUAUCAAAUGAAGCUUUAAGUUUCAACAACAGUCAGUUCGUUCCAAAUUAUGGAACUUUGCCAUAUCCCCCAUUUAAGGUUAAUAUAGCAUUACCGUGUGCAAGGUUGCAGCAUAGGUUCACAUUACCUCCAUUGGAGAUUCAAGGCUUCCCUCAAGUUGGUUAUGCUGAUACCAAGAUGCCUCAAUCAAGUUUUACUCAAUCUACAAAUCAAACGGAUUUUUUCCUACUCCAGGUAUGUUAAGGCUAUCCCUUCUUUCUUUUGGCAUGAUCCAUGUGACACAAACAAAACGUGCAAAUGCAAAAUUUUCAUACAUGACUCUAUUCAUAGAAAUAUUAGAGAUGCUUAUGUUCUUGAUUCCCCAUGUGUCAUAUUAUUCUAUCAUCUGUUCGUGGGUCUCAAAAUACGUAGGUUGGAUUUAACUAUUCUUCCCCUUUCAUAAACGGAAAUAUAAAAGUGGGGAUUAUGUAUUGGUACUUAUCACACUCCACACGUUCUGGAGUGUGAAUAAUCUUUUGGCUGCUAAAAUGCUGAGUUCAUUUUCUAGUUCGUCGUUGUAUCUGGAGAAUAUGUUCCAGACGUACAAAAUCUUUCUAGCUUUUGUAAUUCAGCUAUAUCAUUCUCCUUUUCUAUGGAAGUUGGAGAACCGCAUCAUGUAUUUGGUAGUUCGAAACAAAAUGGUUUAAAGGAUUUUAUUUCUUUUUGGAUAGGUCAUGUCUUUUUAAUAGAAUAAUCCUUAUAUAUUGAAUUUUACAAGAGGGUAUCUACUUACUGGAAAUUUUCCACCUAAGAAUACACUGAAUAAUUAUCUGAUCUAUAUGACACAACGAAACGAGCAAGCACGCAAGUUUUAGAAAUGAUUCUAAUCUUAGAAGUACUAAGAUUGCCUAUGUUCCUAAUUCCCCAUAUGUCCUACUACUAUAUUAUCUAUACAUGGGUCUCAUAACAUUCCAAGAGAUCAUAUUGACUUACUUCAUUAUACAUUGCAUUCAUUUAUACAUGUCCAUUUACCCAUGACUCAGACAUUACAGCAUUAUAUACGCAUCACCACCUGAUCAGCUGGUAUACGUUGAUGAUUUUGCCCACAGUGGCUGAGAUGAUAUGAUGGAAUGCCCUCAGAGGCUUGAUGAUAUUAUGUACGUACAGACCUAUGCGUUACAUGAUAUAUACACGAAUAUGCAUGACCUUAUAAAUAUUUCAUGAUUUAAAGAGCUAUCCAGAUUUACAGAUUGAGUCCUUUACUCGAUGUUUCUUCCAUGUCCUUUAUAUACUGAUUUACAUGCCUUACAUACUCAGUAAAUUUUUCAUACUGACAUCCUUUUGUUGGGGACGUUGCAUUCAUACCUGCAGGUAUAGACAAUAAGUUCGACAAGCCCUCAUAGUAGAUGAGGUCAGCAUUCAGCGAAGGAUCGGUAAGACUCCACCUCAUUCGGAGUGCAGUCGAGUCUAUAAGUCAUCGUGUCAGAGUUUUUCUACAUACUUAUGGGUAGGCCGGUACCUUAUCCCAUUUUAUAUCAAAUAAUCUUAGAGGCUUUGUAGACACAAGUUUAUUAUGUACAGUAUGUCAGAGGCCUUGACGGCCCAUAUGUAUUCAUGUUUUAUGAACGAUGGUUCAUUGAUAUAACAUUUGCCCACUUACAAUUGUACAUUACGAGUUGUGUCCAUGUUGGCCCGUGAUAGUUAUAAAAGGAAUAGAUGAGUUACAGAG